rnacentral:rRNA from 1 species
AACGAACGCUGGCGGCAGGCUUAACACAUGCAAGUCGAACGGUCCUUCGGGAUAGUGGCGGACGGGUGAGUAACACGUGGGAACGUACCCUUAGGUUCGGAACAACACAGGGAAGCUUGUGCUAAUACCGGAUAAGCCCUUCGGGGGAAAGAUUUAUCGCCUUUGGAGCGGCCCGCGCCUGAUUAGCUUGUUGGUGAGGUAAUGGCUCACCAAGGCUACGAUCAGUAGCUGGUCUGAGAGGAUGGCCAGCCACACUGGGACUGAGACACGGCCCAGACACCUACGGGGGGCAGCGGUGGGGAAUCUUGCGCAAUGGGCGAUAGCCUGACGCAGCCAUGCCGCGUGGAUGAUGAAGGUCUUAGGAUUGUAAAAUCCUUUCACCGGGGACGAUAAUGACGGUACCCGGAGAAGGAUCCCCGGCUAACUUCGUGCCAGCCGCCGCCGUAA